GACACACUAUCAUUAACUGAAUCCAUAGGUUAAUGAGGCGAACCGGGGGAACUGAAACAUCUAAGUACCCCGAGGAAAAGAAAUCAACCGAGAUUCCCCCAGUAGCGGCGAGCGAACGGGGAGSAGCCCAGAGUCUGAAUCAGUGUGUGUGUUAGUGGAAGCGUCUGGAAAGGCGCGCGAUACAGGGUGACAGCCCCGUACACAAAAAUGCACAURCUGUGAGCUCGAUGAGUAGGGCGGGACACGUGGUAUCCUGUCUGAAUAUGGGGGGACCAUCCUCCAAGGCUAAAUACUCCUGACUGACCGAUAGUGAACCAGUACCGUGAGGGAAAGGCGAAAAGAACCCCGGCGAGGGGAGUGAAAAAGAACCUGAAACCGUGUACGUACAAGCAGUGGGAGCCUCUUUUAUGGGGUGACUGCGUACCUUUUGUAUAAUGGGUCAGCGACUUAUAUUCUGUAGCAAGGUUAACCGAAUAGGGGAGCCGAAGGGAAACCGAGUCUUAACUGGGCGUUAAGUUGCAGGGUAUAGACCCGAAACCCGGUGAUCUAGCCAUGGGCAGGUUGAAGGUUGGGUAACACUAACUGGAGGACCGAACCGACUAAUGUUGAAAAAUUAGCGGAUGACUUGUGGCUGGGGGUGAAAGGCCAAUCAAACCGGGAGAUAGCUGGUUCUCCCCGAAAGCUAUUUAGGUAGCGCCUCGUGAAUUCAUCUCCGGGGGUAGAGCACUGUUUCGGCAAGGGGGUCAUCCCGACUUACCAACCCGAUGCAAACUGCGAAUACCGGAGAAUGUUAUCACGGGAGACACACGGCGGGUGCUAACGUCCGUCGUGAAGAGGGAAACAACCCAGACCGCCAGCUAAGGUCCCAAAGUCAUGGUUAAGUGGGAAACGAUGUGGGAAGGCCCAGACAGCCAGGAUGUUGGCUUAGAAGCAGCCAUCAUUUAAAGAAAGCGUAAUAGCUCACUGGUCGAGUCGGCCUGCGCGGAAGAUGUAACGGGGCUAAACCAUGCACCGAAGCUGCGGCAGCGACGCUUAUGCGUUGUUGGGUAGGGGAGCGUUCUGUAAGCCUGUGAAGGUGUGCUGUGAGGCAUGCUGGAGGUAUCAGAAGUGCGAAUGCUGACAUAAGUAACGAUAAAGCGGGUGAAAAGCCCGCUCGCCGGAAGACCAAGGGUUCCUGUCCAACGUUAAUCGGGGCAGGGUGAGUCGACCCCUAAGGCGAGGCCGAAAGGCGUAGUCGAUGGGAAACAGGUUAAUAUUCCUGUACUUGGUGUUACUGCGAAGGGGGGACGGAGAAGGCUAUGUUGGCCGGGCGACGGUUGUCCCGGUUUAAGCGUGUAGGCUGGUUUUCCAGGCAAAUCCGGAAAAUCAAGGCUGAGGCGUGAUGACGAGGCACUACGGUGCUGAAGCAACAAAUGCCCUGCUUCCAGGAAAAGCCUCUAAGCAUCAGGUAACAUCAAAUCGUACCCCAAACCGACACAGGUGGUCAGGUAGAGAAUACCAAGGCGCUUGAGAGAACUCGGGUGAAGGAACUAGGCAAAAUGGUGCCGUAACUUCGGGAGAAGGCACGCUGAUAUGUAGGUGAAGUCCCUCGCGGAUGGAGCUGAAAUCAGUCGAAGAUACCAGCUGGCUGCAACUGUUUAUUAAAAACACAGCACUGUGCAAACACGAAAGUGGACGUAUACGGUGUGACGCCUGCCCGGUGCCGGAAGGUUAAUUGAUGGGGUCAGCGCAAGCGAAGCUCUUGAUCGAAGCCCCGGUAAACGGCGGCCGUAACUAUAACGGUCCUAAGGUAGCGAAAUUCCUUGUCGGGUAAGUUCCGACCUGCACGAAUGGCGUAAUGAUGGCCAGGCUGUCUCCACCCGAGACUCAGUGAAAUUGAACUCGCUGUGAAGAUGCAGUGUACCCGCGGCAAGACGGAAAGACCCCGUGAACCUUUACUAUAGCUUGACACUGAACAUUGAGCCUUGAUGUGUAGGAUAGGUGGGAGGCUUAGAAGUGUGGACGCCAGUCUGCAUGGAGCCGACCUUGAAAUACCACCCUUUAAUGUUUGAUGUUCUAACGUUGACCCGUAAUCCGGGUUGCGGACAGUGUCUGGUGGGUAGUUUGACUGGGGCGGUCUCCUCCUAAAGAGUAACGGAGGAGCACGAAGGUUGGCUAAUCCUGGUCGGACAUCAGGAGGUUAGUGCAAUGGCAUAAGCCAGCUUGACUGCGAGCGUGACGGCGCGAGCAGGUGCGAAAGCAGGUCAUAGUGAUCCGGUGGUUCUGAAUGGAAGGGCCAUCGCUCAACGGAUAAAAGGUACUCCGGGGAUAACAGGCUGAUACCGCCCAAGAGUUCAUAUCGACGGCGGUGUUUGGCACCUCGAUGUCGGCUCAUCACAUCCUGGGGCUGAAGUAGGUCCCAAGGGUAUGGCUGUUCGCCAUUUAAAGUGGUACGCGAGCUGGGUUUAGAACGUCGUGAGACAGUUCGGUCCCUAUCUGCCGUGGGCGCUGGAGAACUGAGGGGGGCUGCUCCUAGUACGAGAGGACCGGAGUGGACGCAUCACUGGUGUUCGGGUUGUCAUGCCAAUGGCACUGCCCGGUAGCUAAAUGCGGAAGAGAUAAGUGCUGAAAGCAUCUAAGCACGAAACUUGCCCCGAGAUGAGUUCUCCCUGACYCYUURAGRGUCCUGAAGGAACGUUGAAGACGACGACGUUGAUAGGCCGGGUGUGUAAGCGCAGCGAUGCGUUGAGCUAACCGGUACUAAUGAACCGUGAGGCUUAACCUU
rnacentral:rRNA from 1 species